AUGAAAUAGGAGCAGUCAUCAAAAGUCUCCCAACCAAAAAAAGCCCAGGGAGCCACAUUUUUAUUGCCUAUAGGCAAUAUGCCGCUUCAAGUUUCUGGCUAUUAUAAGUAGAAAAGAACUGAAUGUGGAUGAAUAAACAUCUAUAGUGAGAUGUAGAAUUCAUUGAAUACAUGCCCAAGGUAAAGCUGGAUAUUGAGCCACAUAUAUUUCUGUCUUUUUGAGUAACCUCCGCAUUGAAUUUCAUAGUCACUCUUCCAGAUUGCACUCUCAACAACAAUAAUUAUCCUUUCUAUCAUUUGUUUUAUUACUCUUGGACAUUCUGACUUCAUUAAAUAUAAUCUGAAAAUACUUUGAAUUUUCAUAUGCCUCAGCCCCAAAAGGGAUAUGAAGUAUCAAAUCCUCCCCGCCAGACUCAGCGAUAUAUGGGGAAGAGGAUGGAGAUGUAUUCCAAUAACAAAAAUAGAUAAUGCUUCUAGGACAGUUUUCUAAGUUUUCAUAUCAUGAAUAUGAGUAGAAUUUCAUGAAACAAUUUCCCUGAAUCUAUUGAUUUUUCAUCAUAAACACUUCUAUUACAUUUUAAAAUAUAGUGAAUCUUGACCAAUUGACCUGAAGUUGGCAUGUGAGGGGGGAGGGAAACUGGGAUUUCUUAAGACGAACUAUAACUCAUAAACUGACACUACGCCACCCCUCUCUUUCCUAGGACAUCCCCUCUGCAGUCUCUCUCUAGGGUUGAGGUAUACUGGAAGAAAGGCCAGAGGGUGAUCUGGAGAUGUAGAGCACUCUCACAGUCCCUCCAGAAUUGAAGAAUGAAAAGGAGAAGACAGGAUCACUGGUUUCGUUUAGCUCAUGGAACUUUCUCAAAACUGAUCAUGAAUAAGGAGACAAAGCAACUCUCAACAGCUAUAAGAAACUUGAAAAAUCGCCCUGUAUUUUAUCCCACCACCAUGAAUUAAAGCUGAAUAUCAAGAACAGAAAAUAUACAAACUCAUGGAAGCUGAACAACUCACUCCUGAAUGAACAGUGAGUUAAGACAAAACCCAUAAAGAAAUUAAAAACUUGUAGAGAAUUGAAUGAAAAUGAAAACACAGCAUAUCUAAAACUAUGCAGUAUAAUGAAGGUAGGACUAAGAGAUAAGUUCAAAGCACUAAGUGCCUACAGGAAAAUACUGGAGUGAAUCUUAUUAAUAACUUGAUGACACUUGUAGAAGAUUGUUAUGCAAAAAGAAUAUAUAUGGGAAGAAGUAAUAAAAUCUAUUGAUAAAUCAAAUGAAACACAACAACACAAACAAAACAAAGGUUAAAUAAAUGAAAAGUUGGUCCUGCAGAGAAGUCAACAAGUUUGGGAAAAUGAUAGCCAAAUUAACCUACAAAUUGAGUGAGAGUAUCCAAAUUAAUAAAAUUAGAUGAGAGAUGGAAGGUUUUAAUCAGAUCCUGAGGAAACUCAGGAAUCAUAAGGAAAUACUUCAAAAAUCUGCAUUUCAGAAAAGUGGAAAACUUAAAUAAAAUGGAUGAAUAUCUUGAUCCAUCAAGUUUAAACUAAGGUGAAAUCAACAAUUUAAACUGACCCAUAAUCCUUAGUGAAAUAGAAGCACUGAUUAAAAAUCUCCCAACCCCAAAUAUCCAAAGCUAGAUCGAUUCAACACAGAAUGACACCAGGCCUUAAACAAAGAACUCAUGCCAAUAUGCCUCAAAUUAUUCGUCAAAUAAGAAACUGAAGGACAAAUUUCCUAACUCUUUUUACUAAGCCACCAUAACUCUGAUGUCAAAACCACAUAAAGACUCAACAAAAAUAAAACCAAUUGUAGAUCAAUCUCCCUUAUGAAUACAAGUGAAGAAAUUCUCAAUACAAUACUUGCAAACUGAAUUCAACAGUGGAUUUAUCGGAAGAACUCUUUCCUGGCAACACAACAUUCAGAAGUCUUUGUGUUUGUAUCUCUACAGUCAUGUGCUCCUUGUUCAACCUCUGAGCUAUGUGAUUUAUAAUUUUCGGAUUCACAGGCUCCAGCAGCUCCAUUUAUCUUCAUGCUUGUGUGAUUAGAUUACCAUGUGCUAACUUUCAAAGGGGUAAAAAGUAUCUGGCAAAAGUGAUAAUCUAUGAGUAUCUCAGGGUAAAUUCUGUGAAAUAAUUAGGGGUGUUCUUCCAAAACAAAUUAAAUUACACUUACUUGAUGAAGUCCUAAGGAGGCUGGAGAUGCUAACAAAACAAUUGUGUUAACUGAAGCUUUGAGUUUACAGACUGGAAAUAUUUCCCUUAUGAACCCAUUCAAGCAUAAAAUAUAAGGUGUCUUUAGUUAAGAAUACCAGGAUAUUACCUUUGUAAACAGUAUUGUCAGAGCUACUAAACUACUAAACUAAGUAUGAAACUUGAAGGGAUUAUGGAGAAAUCCAGUUUCCUAAAUCCCUUCAUGUGGCAGGAGUUCAAAGAAAAGAUUAACAUAGUGAUUCUAGUGACUCUGUCACAUAACUACAGGUCCCUGAGUUACUGUGGUAGAGGAGAAUUCUGCUGGACAGCAUCCUCCAAAGACUAUGGAGAGUCAUGAAAAAGUCUAAGCAACAAAAUUAUUGAAUGACAUUUAUUAUAACAAUAAAGAAUGUGUAAUAUACAGUACAACAUAACUAUAAUAACUGAAAAAUAUUUGUAACUAAUAUUAUAAAAUAGAACAGAAGGAAUGUCAUAUAAUAAGCUUUUAUGCACUAUGGAUAAGUGGGAGGUAGAAGGAAACCUUCACAUGGAAUGAGUUGGAGCCUGAGAAGUUCUUACUCAAGGCCAAAGUCCAUACUCUAAAAGCAUCACUUUUGGUUCCUCUUGGUUGAUGGUGGCAUAGUCAAUACCUUUUAAAGGAAUUCUCAUUUCAGGACAAAACCAGAAGAUUCAAAUAAAUUCUGUUAAAUGCUGUAAGUGGCUUCCAAAAAUAGCCUUCAGUGGAAUACUAUAGAAAGUAAAGGAUGUAGCCCAGUGGAGUUCUGGGGAUUUGAUUCAAGUCUCCAGUUACUGAGAAAAUCAAGGACAGGAAGAUCGCUUGGCCAUCCAGAUGCUGACUCCAGGUGUUGGUUCUAGAGAACACUAUGACCUUCAUUGUUACGGGAUCCAUAAGUUGUUCUGUUGCUCACUGCUAAAUAAAACAUAAACUGUCAUCUUGAUACAAACAU